GUGCCCAUCCCUUUUCUCCUCGUUCAUCUUUCCUAUGUUUGCUCAUUUUCCCUCUCCCGCUCUCCAUUGUUGCUCGGCGUCAUUUGCCUUCUUCACUCUGCCACGCUUCACUCCUUUUCACCUUGCUACGGCUGACUACGCUUCUUUGUCGUCGGUGUUCAUGCCCGUUGCAAUGACGUUUGCACGCUCGGUCGGUGUCAUUGGUUAAGCCCAUUCCAUUCCCUUGCUGUCAUGCGCCACGCCGGCCGUCGCGCCAUUCCGCAUUUUGCACUGAGGUUGUUCGUCUGUUGCUCCGCCUUUGUUUGCCCGUUGCUAUUAUGGUUGUGCUUCUUCGUUCUGGUAAUGUGCUGCUCCUUAGCUUCUUUCUUUGCAUUUCUGGUUAGUGGAGAGAUGUGCUGGCUGGUUACAGGGUGAAAUAUUAAGUUUGAGAAGAUAGGUGAUACGUCUCCAACGUAUAUAUAAUUUUUUUUGUUCCAUGCUAUUAUAUUAUCUGUUUUUGGAUGUUUUAUAUGCAUUAAUAUGCUAUUUUAUAUUAUUUUUGGGACUAACCUAUUAA